UUUAAAGAGAAGCAUCAGUGUAUCUGUCUUUUGGAUUUGAUUUUUAGAACUCACUUUGUCUAAACAUGUUGUCUCUCAGUCCCCCAGUUCUGCUGUGCAUUUAAGCAUCCAGACUGUGAGCUUCCUGGAGAUUGAAGUUCAGUCUUUACUCCUCCUGGACCAGGUCUGCCCUAGCACCAGGCUCACAGUGUUGUCUGCUAUUGCUGCUGCUACAGAGGAUGACAGACAGGGCCAGGCCUAGAGCAUGCAGUACCUUAGCAGUCUGGGCUAAGAAGGAGAUCAGCAGGUCAGACUCCACUCACCUGAGUGGCUGGCCUGAGGGGAGGUUGAUGAGCUGAUGUAGGAGAGUUCGGGGACUCAGACUGGAAAGGGGAAGGGCAGCACCCCCUACCCUGGUGGAAAGCAUUAGGCCUAUGUGGUUCAAGUGAGGCCAGGGGCCCGGGACAUUCUUGGAAACCAGCCACUGCAGGGGGCAUGGGUGGCUGCCAUCCCUUCCAUCACGUGUGUGCUGGAGAGCAAAGAGCUCACCCAGCCAGGGAGUGUGACAACAUAACAUCCGUGAGAAUCAUUGCAUCCUGUCUCCCACCCCCAAAACCCAUCCUAAGAUAGCCUCACAUGGCACAGCUAAGGCGAUUGCUUCUCAUGAAUGCCAAGAGAUGACUUGUCUUCAGCCUACCCACCCACCUGACUCAGCACCUCUACUGGCAAGCUCACUGCCCUGAACAGCGCAUCCACACACAGGUUGGACCAGAGAUCCUGAUGUAUCUUACUUCAGUUCCCAAAGCUGCCACACAUUAAAGUUCAUACUGAGAAGGCAUCCACCAAUUGUAAACAAUGUUCAAGAAAUCUGUUCUGAUGACUGUUUGUGCUACUUUGAGCUCUGCCUGGACAGCCUUUUAAGGGUUGAAGGCUCCACAUGCACAACGCAAGCCUGGCCUCUUCCCCGGGGAAAGAGUUAAGCCUUGUCCUCCACACCCUCAGCAUUUGUCCCAUUCUGCAGCAGUGAGGACAGAGCUCUUCAGCCUCCAACAUGAGCUCAUGCCACUUCCACACUUCCACAGAGUCCUGACGGAGGGUCAACACAAUAUUUUAGACCAACGGCAACGAUGGAUCUCAUGCCAGAACCAGGAGCUUGGACCUUGGCCUCUCCACAAAGGCCCUUCAGCCAUUUCCUGCAGACCCGCUUGGCCCUUUGACCUCUUUAUAGGGGUUCAGGGAAGGAGUGGGUGAUGUGAGGGCCUGGAAGGGCUCAAGAGACUGAUGGAAGAGAGUCGCAAGUACACAGUGUUUCCCUGUUUCUGUUCGGGCUAGAUGAGGAGACAUCAAGGGGUGGGGAUGGAGAGGCUGUUCCAGUCAGUGAAGCCCAAGCCUCAUUCCCGCUCGGGUCUUUUAUCUCCCAACCCCAACAUUCCCUUCAUCGCCCCACCCAUUCCAGGGCCUGAAAUAGCCCGAAACUUCAUCCAAGCCUAGGCCCAGGUCCCAAUUUUAGUUCCACAAACAUUUGGCUGCUCCAUAGCUUGCAGGAUCCUGAGCUGGGUCCCGUGGCGGAUGCAGAGAUGAAUGAGGCCCAGCCCUUGCCUUCAGGGAGCUUGCAAAAUGUGUCCAGAUGACUGCAGUCAGAGGCGGAAGAUGCCCGUGGAAGAAGAAAGAAAGACGCUCCCCGUAGAGGGAAUGGGGCAGGCUUGUGAAGGAGAGUUGGUUUUGUUGAAUCUUAAAGGAUGACUAGGAUUUCAAGAGGCGGACAUGAGGAACACUGACUUUAGAUGGAGGGAACAGCAAGAGCAAGAAUAUGGAGGUGUGAAAUGUAGGGUAUGCUCUGGAACAUGGCCAGCAAUCUGGUUUGACUGGAGCACAUGGGAGAAUGUGGAGCUGCUUGCGGUUUCUGUGGAUGUGUGAGUCUGUCUAGAUUCCCUACAGGCUGAGGGCUCCCAAGUGCCAAUGACCCACAGAUUCCCAGAGCUUUACAGAGCAGCCUAUUUGUUAAUCCUCUAUUUAGGAACAGAAAGGUGAGAAACUUGCUCAGACUCUAAAGCACAUUCGUGACACAGCGAGGACUGGACCCAGGUUCUCCCACCCUUAUCUGUUUUGGCUCAGUUCAGGUCCCUUAAUCCAGGAGGCUUCGUCCGUGGAGUUGGCUGACUCAACAGACUCUGCCAUCCCUUAGGGGUCCAAGGAGAAGUAUGAAAUGAACAACCAGUGAUCAUGGAUGAACACAUGAAUGCUCCUCAUGGUGUUGCAUAUUUGCGUAUUAAUGAGGAAGGAAUAGCUUCACGACACUUGAUGGGAAAGACAUGCCAGUAUUUUUUAUUUUCCCACAUUUAUUUAAAUCUGGUCCCAAAUCCCAUCCACAGUGGGUGAAAAGUCUAAUAUCAUUUUUAGGGCUUCCUCUCUUGGCUCAUUGGAUUUUACAAAAAAUAAAACAAAACAAAAACCCCCAAAUAAACAAAGAGUUCGUUCUUGCAGGACUGGAGCAGCUGGUUGGGAUUCAGUGGAGCUCGCCACUGCUAAUGGCUGCCCCUCAGACUGUAGGCAGGUCCUCCCUGUCUGUGGGUACUGCUUCUCCAGGCAGGCUGGGGAGCUGCCCACUCACAGUGGUCUCUCCCAGCAGCAAGCUACUUAGUGGGCUUUCUUCAAGCCCCCUCACCCCCAGCUCUACCUCAGGUUGUGCCAUCCCCAGGGUGGAGGGAAGAGUUCCAGUUGGAUCUCAACUGCUGCCACUUGUGGACACUCGUGAUCUCCCACCCUCUUUCCUGGUGCUGGAAGUCACUGCCCACAGGUAAGGCUACUCUGCUUUUCAAUGGAAAAACCACCUUCCAACCUCUUUGACAUCCUGGACUUGAAGCCCUGGCUGCCCCCUUGGCAGGAUGUGGAGAAAAUGCUUCACAUUCUUUUCUGAAGAGUCCACAGCCAAGAAAACCAGAUAUGGCUGAUUUCUCAAUCAUGUUAUUAUGCCACACUAAAUGUUCAAUUAAUCGCUAUGUUACACUUACAACAGCAAAAGAAAAGUUCAGCA
rnacentral:lncRNA from 10 species